GUGACCAGACCAAGUCUGAAUCACAUUGCAACCGCACGUGCCAGAGCACAACUCUGCUCACUCAAAUUUGCUCAGCUGCCCCUCCAUCAUGAUCCCUAGAUCAAAUCCUUUUUCCACCUCAGGCAGAAUGGGGAAUUGAAUCUGGGUCUCCCAAAUCACAGGUCAUCUCAGACUCAUCAUCCAAGAGAUAGCCCCUCACAGCAAGAUCCAGCAUUGCAGCCACUGCACCUCAUCUCCUCCUUCAUGCCAGUCUGAUCAAAUACAGGGAGAAACAGGUUCCCUCCCAGGCAGGAGGCAAGGCAGCUAUCUGUCUCCAAUGAAAUGAAGCAAAGUAUGACCAAAAACAAUGGAAAACCCAUUUACACACAAGUCAGCAGAGGGGUGAGAAACCCACAGGAAAGGAAGAACAGCGUGAGGUCACCUUGAGUCUGGGGACCAAAUAGUGAGUUUGGAAAGUUAAUAAAAGGCAGGAGAAGUAGUCAUCUUAGCAGCCCUCACUAGACAGCCACAAGAGGCCAGAGCUCUAGCAAGCUGAGAGAGAUGGGUCCUUUAACCCAGACAGUUGAAGUCACUGUGAAUUCAAUAUUGAUGAAGAAACUACGUGGAACAAAGAUUGUAGCUUUUUAAGUUCAGUCUUAGCCCUUAGAAAGCCAUUUUUGUAACCCCUUCUAACUUUAUUCCUUCUACUUGGUAUCACUUAACCUAUGUCCUUUUGUUAAUACACUAUUUUAUUCCUACAAUAAGCCAACUCAAUGCUGUGCUCGAAGGGAAGGGUUUAUUUACCCCAGUUAAGUUAAUAAGCAAUAAUGUUCUUGUCUCUUUAAAGGAGCAAACAAACCUUAUUAUUUCUUAGUGUUCCAGGAGAGGACUGGACACUUCAGGGCAGAUGGGUCUGGGGAAAUUCAAGACUGGGAUUGUAUUGGGGUCAUCUCUGCAAGUAGUAACCAAGGAGGGGUGGAUACCAGAGUGGAGCUGUUGUAUUAUAGGCAAGCUGCUGGGAUCAGAGUGCUGAACGAGAGCUGCAUAGCACACAGACACUUGGGAUUCUGCAUGCUUGUCUGUUGGUGACCAGGCAGUGUGCCACAGCAGCAGAACAUUUAAAGCAUCCAGGAUUACAGGCCAGGCAGUGACACCCCCUUACUGGUCUGAAUGGCACCCAAGAAUGUGACACCCUUCCACAUCCAUGAAACACCUGACUUGGAGGAGGAGGAGAAAGUGGACUAGGGAGGACUUGUUCACUGAGAUCAUGCAAGCCAGUGCUCCAUUGAACCUUGAGCAGAGGGCCUAGAAUGCUAAUAUAACAGACAACCUGGAGAAGGGAAGAGAAGAUCGGAGAAGGAGAGGGAGAUGCACCAGGACAUAAUGGAGCUUCUCUGGUAUCAAACACAAAAGCUCCAGAUUCUUGUUGACCUACAGAGAUCCAAUAUUCAUGUGCUCACCUCCCUUGUCAGUCAAUGGCAAACUACACUUCAGCAGUUUCCCAUGCUCCCCAGCAUUCCACGUGGCAUCAUGGGCUGCAUCCCGGCCCCUACCCCUCUGUGCCAGGGUGCAAUAAGGAAAGCCACAGCUUCACAUACACAGACCUUUGAGAACCA